AAAAUUUUCCUGUAAUUCAUGUUUUGUUUAGUUUUAUACAUUUUAGGUUAUAAGGUCUUCUUACUUACGUUUGUAAGUUUCCUGCACGGCUAAUGGUUUGGUUCGAUUACGGACGAUGGCAAUUUAAGAGGAUAAUUUUCUGAUUUUUGAACAGCAAUUAUUAGCAUUUGAUUUUAAAUUGUGGUAUAACUUCAGCGUAAAUUACCUUAAGACUCAAAAAUAUGUGUU